rnacentral:ncRNA from 2 species
ACUCAGUUUUAAGCGCCUGACCCGGUAUUAGAUUAGAUUAUGCGUCAUAAUGCCGGGUGACGAGGAGGGGGUUUAUCGAAUCUCGGCGGAUGCCCCCCGGUUGCCACAAUCGUAAAUAUGGUUACAAAACGUAUAGCAAUAUACCAACAAAAAGCCAUAUGCGUGGAACC